rnacentral:rRNA from 1 species
AUUGAACGCUGGCGGCAUGCCUUACACAUGCAAGUCGAACGGUAACAGGUCUUCGGAUGCUGACGAGUGGCGAACGGGUGAGUAAUACAUCGGAACGUGCCUAGUAGUGGGGGAUAACUACUCGAAAGAGUGGCUAAUACCGCAUGAGAUCUACGGAUGAAAGCAGGGGAUCGCAAGACCUUGUGCUCAUAGAGCGGCUGAUGGAGGAUUAGGUAGUUGUUGGGAUAAAAGCUUACCAAGCCGACGAUCGGUAGCUGGUCUGAGAGGACGAGCAGCCACACUGGGACUGAGACACGGCCCAGACUCCUACGGGAGGCAGCAGUGGGGAAUUUUGGACAGUGGGCGCAAGCCUGAUCCAGCAAUGCCGCGUGCAGGAUGAAUGCCUUCGGGUUGUAAACUGCUUUUGUACGGAACGAAAAGCCCUGGGUUAAUACCCUGGGGUCAUGACGGUACCGUAAGAAUAAGCACCGGCUAACUACGUGCCAGCCGCCGCAGUAACAC